AUUGAACGCUGGCGGCAGGCCUAACACAUGCAAGUCGAGCGGAUGAAGGGAGCUUGCUCCUGGAUUCAGCGGCGGACGGGUGAGUAAUGCCUAGGAAUCUGCCUGGUAGUGGGGGAUAACGUCCGGAAACGGGCGCUAAUACCGCAUACGUCCUGAGGGAGAAAGUGGGGGAUCUUCGGACCUCACGCUAUCAGAUGAGCCUAGGUCGGAUUAGCUAGUUGGUGGGGUAAAGGCCUACCAAGGCGACGAUCCGUAACUGGUCUGAGAGGAUGAUCAGUCACACUGGAACUGAGACACGGUCCAGACUCCUACGGGAGGCAGCAGUGGGGAAUAUUGGACAAUGGGCGAAAGCCUGAUCCAGCCAUGCCGCGUGUGUGAAGAAGGUCUUCGGAUUGUAAAGCACUUUGAGUUGGGAGGAAGGGCAGUAAGUUAAUACCUUGCUGUUUUGACGUUACCAACAGAAUAAGCACCGGCUAACUUCGUGCCAGCAGCCGCGGUAAUACGAAGGGUGCAAGCGUUAAUCGGAAUUACUGGGCGUAAAGCGCGCGUAGGUGGUUCAGCAAGUUGGAUGUGAAAUCCCCGGGCUCAACCUGGGAACUGCAUCCAAAACUACUGAGCUAGAGUACGGUAGAGGGUGGUGGAAUUUCCUGUGUAGCGGUGAAAUGCGUAGAUAUAGGAAGGAACACCAGUGGCGAAGGCGACCACCUGGACUGAUACUGACACUGAGGUGCGAAAGCGUMGGGGAGCAAACAGGAUUA
rnacentral:rRNA from 1 species